rnacentral:rRNA from 1 species
CCUACGGGAGGCAGCAGUGGGGAAUAUUGCACAAUGGGGGAAACCCUGAUCCAGCGACGCCGCGUGAGUGAAGAAGUAUUUCGGUGCGUAAAGCUCUAUCAGCAGGGAAGAAAAUGAAGUUACCUGACUAACAAGCCAUGGCCAAGUACGUGCCAGCAGCCGCGGGAAUACGGAGGGGGCAAGCGUUAUCUGGUUUUAAUGGGUGUAAAGGUAGCGUAGACGGUGCAGCAAGUCUGAUGUGAAAGGUCGGGGCCCAACCACGGGACUGCUUUGGAAACUGUCGAACUGGAGUACAGGAGAGGUAAGCGGAAUUCCUAGUGUAGCGGUGAAAUGCGUAGAUAUUAGGAGGAACACCAGUGGCGAAGGCGGCUUACUGGACUGUAACUGACGUUGAGGCUCGAAAGCGUGGGGAGCAAACAGGAUUAGAUACCCUAGUAGUC